GUGCCAGCCGCUGCGGUAAUACGUAGGUGGCAAGCGUUGUCCGGAUUUAUUGGGCGUAAAGCGAGCGCAGGCGGUUUUUUUAGGUCUGAUGUGAAAGCCUUCGGCUUAACCGGAGAAGUGCAUCGGAAACCGGGAGACUUGAGUGCAGAAGAGGACAGUGGAACUCCAUGUGUAGCGGUGAAAUGCGUAGAUAUAUGGAAGAACACCAGUGGCGAAGGCGGCUGUCUGGUCUGCAACUGACGCUGAGGCUCGAAAGCAGUGGGUA
rnacentral:rRNA from 1 species